AUUGAACGCUGGCGGCAUGCUUUACACAUGCCAGUCGGACGGCAGCACAGAGAAGCUUGCUUCUUGGGUGGCGAGUGGCGCACGGGUGAGUAAUAUAUCGGAACGUACCGAGUAAUGGGGGAUAACUAAUCGAAAGAUUAGCUAAUACCGCAUAUUCUCUGAGGAGGAAAGCAGGGGACCUUCGGGCCUUGCGUUAUUCGAGCGGCCGAUAUCUGAUUAGCUAGUUGGUGGGGUAAAGGCCUACCAAGGCGACGAUCAGUAGCGGGUCUGAGAGGAUGAUCCGCCACACUGGGACUGAGACACGGCCCAGACUCCUACGGGAGGCAGCAGUGGGGAAUUUUGGACAAUGGGCGCAAGCCUGAUCCAGCCAUGCCGCGUGUCUGAAGAAGGCCUUCGGGUUGUAAAGGACUUUUGUCAGGGAAGAAAAGGCUGUUGCUAAUACCGACAGCUGAUGACGGUACCUGAAGAAUAAGCACCGGCUAACUACGUG
rnacentral:rRNA from 1 species